GCCCUGAUGGUCUAGUAGUAUGAUUCCUUGUUAGGGUUGCUCAACCACUUCGAGGAGGUCCCCGGUUCAAUUCCGGGUUAGGGCC